rnacentral:rRNA from 1 species
GCGUGCCGCUUGCGCCGGCGCACAGGUGCUGCAUGGCUGUCGUCAGCUCGUGCUGUGAAGUGUUGGGUUAAGUCCCGCAACGAGCGCAACCCCUGCUGCCUGUUGCCACCACGAGAGGUGGGGACUCAGGCGGGACCGCCGGUGACAAACCGGAGGAAGUGGGGACGACGUCAAGUCAUCAUGGCCCUUAUGUCCUGGGCUACACACGUGCUACAAUGGCCGGUACAGAGCGCAGCGAGGCCGCGAGGCGGAGCGAAUCGCUUAAAGCCGGUCCCAGUACGGAUUGGAGUCUGCAACCCGACUCCAUGAAGUUGGAAUCGCUAGUAAUCGCGCAUCAGCAUGGCGCGGUGAAUACGUUCCCGGGCCUU